rnacentral:lncRNA from 1 species
AAAGUCAACAAAGCAGGAAGUGGCAGUUUUUGUCUUUGAUAAAAAACUGAUUGACAAGUAUCAAAAAUUUGAAAAGGAUCAAAUCAUUGAUUCUCUAAAACGAGGAGUCCAACAGUUAACUCGGCUUCGACACCCUCGACUUCUUACUGUCCAGCAUCCUUUAGAAGAAUCCAGGUAAAUUUUUACAAAAACUUACAUAGUAGACUUCCUGAACAAAUAGUUAAAAAUAAUUUUAUAUUUGAAAUCUGUUUCAAGUAUUGUCAGUGAAAAAUUCUUAUACUCUAAGUGUUGAGUUCUUAUGCAUUAGUUUUCUCCCUAAAAUUUAUUUGCAUUGUCUACGUAUAUGUCUCUCUUUGAAAUAUUAAUACUUUCUUUACUUUUGCCAUGAUUCUGUACUUCAGUGGCUACCCUGUGCUCAUGACUACAAUAGUCAAAAUAGAACAUACAAGGGUAUAGAAUACAGUUCUUGCCUGAAAGUAGCUGUCCUUGCUAAUUUGCUAGAA